CCAGACUCCUACGGGAGGCAGCAGUGGGGGAUAUUGCACAAUGGGGGGAACCCUGAUGCAGCGACGCCGCGUGAACGAAGAAAUAUUUCGGUAUGUAAAGCCCUAUCAACAGGGAAGAACAAUGACGGUACCUGACUAAGAGGCACCGGCUAAAUACGUGCCAGCAGCCGCGGUAAUACGUAUGGUGCAAGCGUUAUCCGGAUUUACUGGGUGUAAAGGGAGCGCAGGCGGCGCGUUAAGCCUGGUGUGAAAGCCCGGGGCCCAACCCCGGGACUGCUCUUGGAACUGCGUGGCUAGAGUGCAGGAGGGGCAGGCGGAAUUCCUGGUGUAGCGGUGAAAUGCGUAGAUAUCAGGAGGAACACCGGUGGCGAAGGCGGCCUGCUGGACUGCAACUGACGUUGAGGCCCGAAAGCGUGGGGAGCAAACAGGAUUAGAUACCCGAGUA
rnacentral:rRNA from 1 species